CUACGGGGGGCUGCAGUGGGGAAUAUUGCACAAUGGGCGCAAGCCUGAUGCAGCCAUGCCGCGUGUAUGAAGAAGGCCUUCGGGUUGUAAAGUACUUUCAGCGGGGAGGAAGGGAGUAAAGUUAAUACCUUUGCUCAUUGACGUUACCCGCAGAAGAAGCACCGGCUAACUCGGUGCCAGCAGCCGCGGUAAUACGGAGGGUGCAAGCGUUAAUCGGAAUUACUGGGCGUGAAGCGCACGCAGGCGGUUUGUUAAGUCAGAUGUGAAAUCCCCGGGCUCAACCUGGGAACUGCAUCUGAUACUGGCAAGCUUGAGUCUCGUAGAGGGGGGUAGAAUUCCAGGUGUAGCGGUGAAAUGCGUAGAGAUCUGGAGGAAUACCGGUGGCGAAGGCGGCCCCCUGGACGAAGACUGACGCUCAGGUGCGAAAGCGUGGGGAGCAAACAGGAUUAGAUACCCUUGUAGUC
rnacentral:rRNA from 1 species